AGCCAAGUCCUCGGAGCAGGGUUUUCCCCAAGGUAAAUCCAGAUGUGACAUGGAAAGUCCUUAGCAAGGAUUUCCAGCCUUGACUACACAGCUUUUGGAAAAGCUUAGCAACUGAACAAUAUAAAAUAUCAGAUUUUUAUCAAGUGUGGUGUUUAUAUCUGGGACCACUCAGUUCCCUGGGUGUCAAAGUCCUUCAAGUAGCAAGGCUAAGACAUUUUUGAGAAUUCCAAGUGUCCCUAAGAUUCUUAAUACAAUAUUUAAAUGAUUAAUUCUUGAGACAAUAUAAAGUGAAUUUGUUAGAGUGGCAGAAAUGUUUUUUUUCACCUGGAAGUGUGUUGGGAUAAUCAACAUUCCUUAUGUCAGAAUUAACUGGUCCUCCUUCUUUUCUUUCUAGAUUGUGGAUAAUUGGGGAGAAUAUUUGGGAUAAAGAAAUGAAAUGCACAAGGGAAGCUUCAUGUUCCCAAGCCCAGGACUAAGUUGGUGCUCUCUGAGUGGCUGCAGCUCCCUGGAUGUGGAGGGAGGAGGUCUCUGCUGGAGAGUGGGAGAAAUGUCCCUGCUUGUUGCUGGGUCCUCGGUGAGCAGAGAACUCUGAUGGCAAGAUGGGUUUGUGAGUAUUGAACCAAUCCUACCUCCUUUUUAAUGAGUUGAAUCAAUUAGUCAUCAGCAGGAACCACUUUUAGCCAGCUUUAGUUAAGUUUCUUUUUCACAGAUUUCUUGUUGUUUUGAUCAUGACAUCACCAAAAUCUUAACUUUGAUAAAUUAACCCUGAAAAGCUUCAAUGAACAAAUCCCGAGGGAAUUGGGGAUUGGAUAGCUGGGAUCUUAUGGCCCUUCAAGGACAUGUUAGGUUUACCCACUGGUUUUGGUUUCAAGGGAAAUUCCAAGAUAAGAAUAAUCAAAACAUUAAUCAGUUCUCACGAAAUCCAGCUUUCCAAAGCUUUAUUUAGGAUCAAAAAAUAUGGGAAUCCCUUUGGCAGAAAAGCACCUGUGAAGCAAAGCAGACUUUAAAUGCCUGUAACAAGAUUACAGAAAAUCAUCAUGUCCACAUAUAUAUAUACACACUCACAUAUAUAGAUAGACAGAUAUAAAGUAGAUAUUUUAUAGCAGUUGAAGGUAAACUGUCAGGGCUGGGUUUUAAAAUAUUGUUUUAACAAUAAAGUAUUCUAUAAUUAUGCAGGUGAUUUUUAAUAUUUAAUAUACAAAAUUAAAUUCUUUGCUGGUUUUAGUGUAUUGCAUUGAAAGUCUAUGUGAUUUUGCUUCUUUCCCUGUCCCAGGAGAGUGCUUAGUUAUCUGUAAGGUUGUAACAUUGGAACUGCCAAUUUCAGUGCCUAUAUCUGGACUUGAUAUAUUAUCUGUACUAUUGUUUAGAUGCAUUGUUUUAGACAGAACUAGGGGGCUGGAAGAGAAAAUUGAAGGAAAAUGUUGUAGAGAAGGGGCAGAGCAAGAAUGUAGAGAACCUAAUUUAGGAUUGAAACCCAUCAGUCUGGUGGUUCAGUCUCCUGGCAGGAAGUGGUGAAGGAGAUCAGUUGGUGUUGAACGGAGGUGUUCUGUGGGUUUGCUCCAGCCAGACGAGGAUUUGGGGGACACUGCACCACAGCCAGAGCAGGGAGGGCUGAGAGGGACAGGGGGGUCUCCCCAGCCCGCUGGGAGUGGUGUCACAUGAGGCAGAUGCCUGCAAAGGUGCAUUAUCCCUAUGGAGAUGGGCCCAUGGUGUCUGUUUGCCAUGUACCCGAGACCCCUGGCAUGGGUCUGGGUCUCAUUUUGUAAAGGGUGAGUGUUGCACAGAACUAUUCUGAAUUAUAAUUUGGGAUGUUGUGUGCUGUGGGCUUCGGGGCACACUUUUUUUUUUGAAUGGUUCACACUGGAAAGUUUAAUGUAUAGGUGGCUCUGAUCUGCUGGGUUUUGUGCUGCUUGUCCCACUGCAAGCUCUGAGCAAAGGAAGGACGUGGCAGCUCACUCACUGAGUUGGCAUCCUUGGCCUCAGCAGUCAUGAAAGCAGCAGGUAGGCUUCUUGCCUGCUGAACCACUUCUUGUGGUGUUAAGGCUGGCAUCCAGUGCUAAAGAAAAUUCCUCUCUUUUCAUAUGACAGCAGCACUGAGAGGAGAGGGAAGGACUUGGGCAGAGUACUAAAAACCUCAGAAUUUCAGGUGUGACACAAAAGAAAGCUUAGAGUGCAAAAAGGGAAAUAUGUGCCCAAAUUGCAGUUCUGCUGUCUGUCCUCAUGCAAUUGUGUCUUCUGAAAAUGCGACCAUUUUAUUCAUUGUGCUGUACAAAACACUUCUCAUAAUUACAAGGAAACAGAUGAUACUAAAACUCAAAGGAAUUUGGAUGUGUAGAAGCAACCUAUUCUUUCUUCUCCAGUGCAAGGUGCUUGAUGUUAGGAAAUACUGAAAAGCAAGAAAAUUGUUAUAGUUGAGUUGGUUUCUCUUUAUUUAUAAUCCCCCCCAAGCCUUUUUUUUUUUUUU